rnacentral:rRNA from 1 species
UGCUUAAUACAUGCAAGUCGAGCGGGGUUACUGCGACAGAUCCCUUCGGGGUGACGUUGCUUUAACCUAGCGGCGGACGGGUGAGUAACGCGUGGGUAACCUACCCUAAAGCUCGGGAUAACAGUGGGAAACCGCUGCUAAUACCGGAUGACUUUAACCUAUGGCAUCAUGGGUUAAAGAAAGAUUUAUCGCUUUAGGAUGGGCCCGCAUCCCAUUAGCUAGUUGGUGAGGUAACGGCUCACCAAGGCGACGAUGGGUAGCCGGCCUGAGAGGGUGUACGGCCACACUGGGACUGAGACACGGCCCAGACUCCUACGGGAGGCAGCAGUAGGGAAUAUUGCGCAAUGGACGGAAGUCUGACGCAGCGACGCCGCGUGAGCGAUGAAGGCCUUCGGGUCGUAAAGCUCUGUCCUUGGGGAAGAAGGUCUUCGGACUUGACGGUACCCAAGAAGAAAGCCCCGACUAACUACGUGCCAGCAGCCGCGGUAAUACGUAGGGGGCGAGCGUUGUCCGGAAUUACUGGGCGUAAAGGGUGCGUAGGCGGCCCUUUAAGUCAGAUGUGAAAGGCCACGGCUUAACCGUGGGAUUGCAUUUGAAACUGGAG